ensembl:rRNA 5S_rRNA 5S ribosomal RNA
AUAGAACUGUGUAAUGAAUGCACCAAUCUCAUCUGAUCUUGGAAGCUAAGCAGGUUCGGGCCUGGUUAGUACUUGGAUAGGAGACAAUAACAGGUGCUAUA